AGUAUAAAACCUACUUGGAUACACACAAACAGUAUGCAAACAAGUAUAUUAUAGGGAGCGUGCAUGAACUGUAGGAGGCAGCACAGGAGCCGUCAGAUUUUUGGCGCGAGGCGUAAAUGUGAUGUUUAUUGUUCCGAUGUCCCACAAGAUGGCAGAACCUACUAUGCACAAGAAAACACGUGACGUGUAAAAAUACAUGUUUAUGGUUCCGAUUCAGGCCACAAGAUGGCAGACCCUCUAACGCGCACGGUCCCUUUACGCUAUAGAGCCAAUAUAUAGCCAAUGUCACUGUGUUAUGUCAACAACGUCAUGAAUGUACCAUGUAAACAUAAAACAAAUUAAAUAAAUAACAAUGGUCCAACCAUGAAUAAAAACCAAUAUUGAUCAUAAUGUGCUGUGCAAAAACCACGAAACCUAGUCGUAAAAAUACAAAUAAGAAAAACAUUAAGUUAAGCAGCGCAAACACGCGAACUGUGGGUGCAACUACCGAUCCCGCACCAUGCCCCACAGUCCUCAAAUCCGCUAAAUCCCGUUCUCAAGCCGUUAAUGCUUCUGAGGAGUGUGCAUGUGCAGUAUACAUCAAAGUGUGCCCCGCAUUGGUGUAUGUGGGAGCGCUGGUUCUAAUGGCCAUGAUAUGCAGCUAUUUGUACCAAAAAUUAUCUGAGAGGGAGCCAAGAUGUACGAGGCGAAUAAGAAGGCGUUGAAGAUACUGUUCUAGUUUUGGGAAAGAAGUUCAAACCUGUCAAAAUGCACGCCUCCUCGUCUUCGUAGGACACCGAUGUGUCUUGACUUGAUCGGGAAUUCGGAAUACUAAUAGUGCUUGGGUCGAUAUUACAGGCUCUGCAAAAGGUCUUCAAGAACAAUCAUAACCAGCUUAAUUCACCUUCGAGAGUCAGUAAAUUCUUCCAAAAAAAUAGACAAAUGUCACAACUA